rnacentral:rRNA from 1 species
UUUUAUGGAGAGUUUGAUCCUGGCUCAGGAUGAACGCUGGCGGCGUGCCUAAUACAUGCAAGUCGAGCGAACGGAUGAGAAGCUUGCUUCUCUGAUGUUAGCGGCGGACGGGUGAGUAACACGUGGAUAACCUACCUAUAAGACUGGGAUAACUUCGGGAAACCGGAGCUAAUACCGGAUAAUAUUUUGAACCGCAUGGUUCAAAAGUGAAAGACGGUCUUGCUGUCACUUAUAGAUGGAUCCGCGCUGCAUUAGCUAGUUGGUAAGGUAACGGCUUACCAAGGCAACGAUGCAUAGCCGACCUGAGAGGG